GGCAAGGUGGCCGAGUGGUUAAGGCGCAGCACCUGAAUUCUCACAGUCCGAGCGAUGCUGUUCAUUCGUGAUCGUAGGUUCGAAUCCUGCCCUUGUCG